UGGGGUUUGACCCCAUGAACCAUGAGAUCAUGACCUGAGCCGAAAUCAGAUGCUCAACCGACUGAGACUCCCGGGCGCCCCUCCUUUUGCAACUUUUAAACAAGGAGAAUAAUUGCAUUCAAAAGCAUGUAGGGCUUAUGUAGAUUAUCUUUUUGAUUCAACAAUUAAGAAUAAGGAUUAAAAAGAUUAUCAAACAACUUAUAAAAUUAAAAUCAGUUAAGUAUUAACUGUUUUAAAAAUAUCAAUCAUUAUUCUGCUUGGACAGGAGUAUGGAUUUAUAGGAAGUUAGCUGAGGUCAAGACUAAAGCUAAUCUGUCUAUAACCUCCUCUACAAAGGAAAGCUUGGAUUUUAUAAAUCCAAGAUCAUCUUCCUUGCUCAUUUGAAUGUGAAAUAAUUGCCUCAUUUUAGGAUUUGCUGGGUUCAUUCACAAAAUUAUUUGAAUCAGCUUUUCUUUCUAGUCAAGAAACGCCUGCAUUUUGCAACACAGAAUUAUGCCUCUCUGCGUUUUCCAUUUAAUACUUGGGUUUUCUUUCUACUUCUUCCAGAAAAACCCUGUAAAAAACUCAGAAGGGCUAAUAAAAUCCACAGCAUCUAUCAAUGCACAGAGUUUGCUAAUGUUCCUUGUAUUCCUUUGUCUCAGGAGUCUACUCAUAUGUUUAUUAUUUUCCAAAUAAUUUAAACAUGCAUAUAUUAUGUUUGGGAUUCUUACACUUGAUGUAAUUUUUAAAUCCUAUGACUGUUAAAAUGUUACUCAUGUUUUCAAGGAAAACUCAAUGUCACUUUCUAAAAUAAUGAAAAGCUUCCCAUUUAC